rnacentral:tRNA from 1 species
GGUGAGAAUUAGCCGGAGGCUGAAGGCUCCCCUGCUAUGAGGGAGCAUGCGGUCAAAAGCUGCAUCCGGGGUUCGAAUCCCGCCUCACCGCCA